rnacentral:tRNA from 1 species
GAUGUAGUGGCUGAGCCUAUAGGCAUUAGACUGUAAAUCUAAGAACAAGGGAAUCCCUUCUUCAUCA